CAUGCAAGUCGAGGGGCAGCAUGGUCUUAGCUUGCUAAGGCUGAUGGCGACCGGCGCACGGGUGAGUAACACGUAUCCAACUUGCCGUCUACUCUUGGCCAGCCUUCUGAAAGGAAGAUUAAUCCAGGAUGGGAUCAUGAGUUCACAUGUCCGCAUGAUUAAAGGUAUUUUCCGGUAGACGAUGGGGAUGCGUUCCAUUAGAUAGUAGGCGGGGUAACGGCCCACCUAGUCAACGAUGGAUAGGGGUUCUGAGAGGAAGGUCCCCCACAUUGGAACUGAGACACGGUCCAAACUCCUACGGGAGGCAGCAGUGAGGAAUAUUGGUCAAUGGGCGAUGGCCUGAACCAGCCAAGUAGCGUGAAGGAUGACUGCCCUAUGGGUUGUAAACUUCUUUUAUAAAGGAAUAAAGUCGGGUAUGCAUACCCGUUUGCAUGUACUUUAUGAAUAAGGAUCGGCUAACUCCGUGCCAGCAGCCGCGGUAAUACGGAGGAUCCGAGCGUUAUCCGGAUUUAUUGGGUUUAAAGGGAGCGUAGAUGGAUGUUUAAGUCAGUUGUGAAAGUUUGCGGCUCAACCGUAAAAUUGCAGUUGAUACUGGAUGUCUUGAGUGCAGUUGAGGCAGGCGGAAUUCGUGGUGUAGCGGUGAAAUGCUUAGAUAUCACGAAGAACUCCGAUUGCGAAGGCAGCCUGCUAAGCUGCAACUGACAUUGAGGCUCGAAAGUGUGGGUAUCAAACAGGAUUAGAUACCCUGGGAGUCCACACGGUAAACGAUGAAUACUCGCUGUUUGCGAUAUACGGCAAGCGGCCAAGCGAAAGCGUUAAGUAUUCCACCUGGGGAGUACGCCGGCAACGGUGAAACUCAAAGGAAUUGACGGGGGCCCGCACAAGCGGAGGAACAUGUGGUUUAAUUCGAUGAUACGCGAGGAACCUUACCCGGGCUUAAAUUGCACUCGAAUGAUCC
rnacentral:rRNA from 1 species